rnacentral:rRNA from 1 species
UGAGGGAAUAUUGGGUCAAUGGACGAGAGUCUGAACCAGCCAAGUAGCGUGCAGGAAGACGGCCCUCCGGGUUGUAAACUGCUUUUAGUUGGGAAUAAAGUUCGGGACGUGUCCCGAUUUGUAUGUACCAUCAGAAAAAGGACCGGCUAAUUCCGUGCCAGCAGCCGCGGUAAUACGGAAGGUCCGGGCGUUAUCCGGAUUUAUUGGGUUUAAAGGGAGCGUAGGCCGGAGAUUAAGCGUGUUGUGAAAUGUAGACGCUCAACGUCUGCACUGCAGCGCGAACUGGUUUCCUUGAGUACGCACAAAGUGGGCGGAAUUCGUGGUGUAGCGGUGAAAUGCUUAGAUAUCACGAAGAACUCCGAUUGCGAAGGUAGCUCACUGGAGCGCAACUGACGCUGAAGCUCGAAAGUGCG